rnacentral:rRNA from 1 species
CCUACGGGAGGCAGCAGUGAGGAAUAUUGGUCAAUGGGCGGAAGCCUGAACCAGCCAAGUAGCGUGCGGGAUGAAGGCCCUACGGGUCGUAAACCGCUUUUGCACGGGGAUAACACCCUCCACUUGUGGAGGUCUGCAGGUACCGUGCGAAUAAGGGCAGGCUACUUCCGUGCCAGCAGCCGCGGUAAUAGGGAAGGCCCGAGCGUUAUCCGGAUUCAGUGGGGUUAAAGGGGACGUAGGCGGGUGUUCAAGUCAGCGGUAAAAUCGCGCGGCUCAACCGCGCCCCGCAGUUGAAACUGGACGCCUUGAGUUCACAACAGGCAGGCGGAAUUCGUGGUGUAGCGGUGAAAUGCAUAGAUAUCACGAGGAACCCCGAUUGCGAAGGCAGCCUGCCGGGGUGCGACUGACGCUGAGGCUCGAAGGUGCGGGUAUCAAACAGGAUUAGAUACCCUUGUAGUC